AGGCCGCCUUUGCUCACUAGAAGCAGGGAUCCCUCUUCUUCCCCUGGCCCCUUUCUUUAAAACAGUUUCUUUUAAGUUUUCAUUUCUGUGUUCGUCCUCCUUCAUUCAGUCCCAUGGUAACUGUGGCAAACCAUGGCAAACUGCAGCAAGUGGCACCCAAACAGAGACCGUGGGGACAGAUAGAGAUUAGUAGAGACUAGCAGAGACUUGCAGGGACAGAUAGGGACAAACAGGGACAGAUAGGGUCCUAUAGGGACAUGAACGAAGAAGGUCUGCUGGAGCAGAAGUAGUAAACCCAGAUGAACCAGAAACCCCAUUACAAGUCUGCCAGCUGCAAUAUAAGGUCACUGCUCUAAAGAGGAGAUGAACAAACUCUAUGGGUGCCCUUAAGGUGUGUACGACCAUGGAAUAGGAGACUGGAGGGACCCAUGCAACCCAACUGUGGGCCUGGUUCCCCCAGUACGAGCUGAAUGCAAAGACAGAACGAACCAGCAAUUGAAGCCUGCACAUUUUGCAAUUACCUUUCUCAAUUAAUUUAAAAACACAAAGGGAGAGAUGUUGGAGACCGCAAGAAUGAGCGUUGUGACCAACUCAGUAUACCACUGGAGGCUAUGUGAGUAAAGAGCAAACUGUUCUUACAGGUUGUUGGCAAACUGACAAACGGUGUCUGCCACCCACAAGGAAUGCUGAGGGCAGUCACGCCCCAAGCACAAGUGUUGCUUGUGAUUAGGCACAUCUGAAGCCUGUUAGCAAUAAUGUGAACCUGUGAUCAAUUAAGCAGCUGACCAAUCGUUACCUCCUCCUCCCUGCUCUUUCUACUCAAUAAAUAAAAGGGCUGUAGAAGCUCAGGGUGGCUGCCUUUGCUCACUAGAAGCAGGGAUCCCUCUUCUUCCCCUAGCCCCUUUCUUUAAACUGUUUCUUUUAAGUUUUCAUUUCUGCAUUUGUCUGCCUUCAUUCAGUCCCGUGGUAACCAUGGCAAACCGCAGUAGAUGUUGUGUUAGCAGGGAGUAAGGAGGCUAGUCAGCACAGCAGUCAGAGCUCACAUCACAUUUAUGGUAAGUUUGCUGUCUUUUCUUCUUUAAUUUUUCAAAAAUUUUUUAAA
rnacentral:lncRNA from 10 species